rnacentral:miRNA from 1 species
AUGAGUCUUGACCGGAAGGGUUUCCUUCCGGUCGAUGAGGUACAUGUACCUCAUUGACCGGAAGGAAACCCUUCCGGUCAGGGAGGUACAU